rnacentral:rRNA from 1 species
UAGGGUUCGAUUCCGGAGAGGGAGCCUGAGAAACGGCUACCACAUCUAAGGAAGGCAGCAGGCGCGCAAAUUACCCACUCCCGGCACGGGGAGGUAGUGACGAAAAAUAACGAUACGGGACUCUUUUGAGGCCCCGUAAUUGGAAUGAGUACACUUUAAAUCCGUUAACAAGUAUCUAUUGGAGGGCAAGUCUGGUGCCAGCAGCCGCGGUAAUUCCAGCUCCAAUAGCGUAUAUUAAUGUUGCUGCAGUUAAAAAGCUCGUAGUUGGAUCUGAGGACUCGAAUUGGUGGUGCAGCAAACGCUGUUACUGCUGAUUCGGCCUACCUAGUCGGUGCUCGCUCUUGGUGUUCUUAAUUGAAUGCCCUGAGUGCCCGACAUGUUUACUUUGAAAAAAUUAGAGUGCUCAAAGCAGGCCAUUAGCCGGAAUACUUCAGCAUGGAAUAAUGGAAUAGGACUUCGGUUCUAUUUUGUUGGUUUUCGGAACCCGAGGUAAUGAUUAAGAGAGACAGACGGGGGCAUUCGUACUGCGGUGUUAGAGGUGAAAUUCUUGGAUCGCCGCAAGACGAACAACUGCGAAAGCAUUUGCCAAGAAUGUUUUCAUUAAUCAAGAACGAAAGUCAGAGGUUCGAAGACGAUCAGAUACCGUCCUAGUUCUGACCAUAAACGAUGCCAACUGGCGAUCCGAGAUCGUUUGCUUUUUGACCUCUCGGGCAGCCUCCGGGAAACCAAAGUCUUUAGGUUCCGGGGGAAGUAUGGUUGCAAAGCUGGAACUUAAAGGAAUUGACGGAAGGGCACCACCAGGAGUGGAGCCUGCGGCUUAAUUUGACCCAACACGGGAAAACUCACCCGGCCCGGACACUGUUAGGAUUGACAGAUUGAGAGCUCUUUCUUGAUUCGGUGGGUGGUGGUGCAUGGCCGUUCUUAGUUGGUGGAGCGAUUUGUCUGGUUAAUUCCGAUAACGAACGAGACUCUAGCCUGCUAAAUAGUACGCCGAUACCUUUUCGUCGGUGCUGACUUCUUAGAGGGACAAGCGUCUUGAAGACGCACGAGAUUGAGCAAUAACAGGUCUGUGAUGUCCUUAGAUGUUCGGGGCCGCACGCGCGCUACACUGAAGGGGACAGCGAGUUUUUCCUGGUUUGAAAGAACCGGGUAAUCUGUUGAAUUCCCUUCGUGACAGGGAUCGGGGCUUGCAAUUAUUCCCCGUGAACGAGGAAUUCCCAGUAAGCGCAAGUCAUCAGCUUGCGUUGAUUACGUCCCUGCCCUUUGUACACACCGCCCGUCGCUACUACCGAUUGAAUGGUUUAGCAAGGUCCUCGGAUUGGUGCCGACUAGGUGGCAACAUUUGGUCGGAUACUGAGAAGAAGAUCAAACUUGAUCAUUUAGAGGAAGUAAAAGUCGUAACAAGGUUUCCGUAGGAACCUGCGGAAG